AUACAGAGGGUGCAAGCGUUAUUCGGAAUUACUGGGCGUAAAGCGCGCGUAGGCGGAUGAUUAAGUCAGUUGUGAAAGCCCUGGGCUCAACCUAGGAACUGCAUCUGAUACUGGUCGUCUAGAGUUUAAGAGAGGGAAGUGGAAUUCCAGGUGUAGCAGUGAAAUGCGUAGAUAUCUGGAGGAACAUCAGUGGCGAAGGCGACUUCCUGGCUUAAAACUGAUGCUGAGGUGCGAAAGCGUGGGUAGCGAACGGGAUUAGAUACCCUAGUAGUCC
rnacentral:rRNA from 1 species